GGGGCCGUAGCUCAGCUGGUUAGAGCGCCUGCCUGUCACGCAGGAGGACGCGAGUUCGAGUCUCGUCGGCCCCGCUA
rnacentral:tRNA from 1 species